rnacentral:rRNA from 1 species
AUUGAACGCUGGCGGCAUGCCUUACACAUGCAAGUCGAACGGCAGCACGGGAGCAAUCCUGGUGGCGAGUGGCGAACGGGUGAGUAAAGUAUCGGAACGUGCCCAGUCGUGGGGGAUAACGUAGCGAAAGUUACGCUAAUACCGCAUACGAUCUAUGGAUGAAAGCGGGGGAUCGCAAGACCUCGCGCGAUUGGAGCGGCCGAUAUCAGAUUAGGUAGUUGGUGGGGUAAAGGCUCACCAAGCCAACGAUCUGUAGCUGGUCUGAGAGGACGACCAGCCACACUGGAACUGAGACACGGUCCAGACUCCUACGGGAGGCAGCAGUGGGGAAUUUUGGACAAUGGACGCAAGUCUGAUCCAGCCAUUCCGCGUGCAGGGUGAAGGCCCUCGGGUUGUAAACUGCUUUUGUACGGAACGAAAAGGUCUCUCUUAAUACGGGGGGCUCAUGACGGUACCGUAAGAAUAAGCACCGGCUAACUACGUGCCAGCAGCCGCCGCGG